CAUGCAAGUCGACGAUGAACCACUUCGGUGGGGAUUAGUGGCGAACGGGUGAGUAACACGUGGGCAAUCUGCCCUGCACUCUGGGACAAGCCCUGGAAACGGGGUCUAAUACCGGAUACUGACGCUCGCAGGCAUCUGUGAGAGUCGAAAGCUCCGGCGGUGCAGGAUGAGCCCGCGGCCUAUCAGCUUGUUGGUGAGGUAACGGCUCACCAAGGCGACGACGGGUAGCCGGCCUGAGAGGGCGACCGGCCACACUGGGACUGAGACACGGCCCAGACUCCUACGGGAGGCAGCAGUGGGGAAUAUUGCACAAUGGGCGAAAGCCUGAUGCAGCGACGCCGCGUGAGGGAUGACGGCCUUCGGGUUGUAAACCUCUUUCAGCAGGGAAGAAGCGAAAGUGACGGUACCUGCAGAAGAAGCGCCGGCUAACUACGUGCCAGCAGCCGCGGUAAUACGUAGGGCGCAAGCGUUGUCCGGAAUUAUUGGGCGUAAAGAGCUCGUAGGCGGCUUGUCGCGUCGGUUGUGAAAGCCCGGGGCUUAACCCCGGGUCUGCAGUCGAUACGGGCAGGCUAGAGUUCGGUAGGGGAGAUCGGAAUUCCUGGUGUAGCGGUGAAAUGCGCAGAUAUCAGGAGGAACACCGGUGGCGAAGGCGGAUCUCUGGGCCGAUACUGACGCUGAGGAGCGAAAGCGUGGGGAGCGAACAGGAUUAGAUACCCUGGUAGUCCACGCCGUAAACGGUGGGCACUAGGUGUGGGCAACAUUCCACGUUGUCCGUGCCGCAGCUAACGCAUUAAGUGCCCCGCCUGGGGAGUACGGCCGCAAGGCUAAAACUCAAAGGAAUUGACGGGGGCCCGCACAAGCGGCGGAGCAUGUGGCUUAAUUCGACGCAACGCGAAGACCCUUACCAAGGCUUGACAUCCCCCGGAAACGUCCAGAGAUGGGCGCCCCCUUGUGGUCGGUGUCCAGGUGGUGCAUGGUUGUCUUCAGCUCGUGUCGUGAGAUGUUGGGUUAAGUCCCGCAACGAGCCCAACCCUUGUCCCGUGUUGCCACCAACUCUUCGGAGGUUGGGGACUCACGGGAGACCGCCGGGGUCAACUCGGAGGAAGGUGGGGACGACGUCAAGUCAUCAUGCCCCUUAUGUCUUGGGCUGCACACGUGCUACAAUGGCCGGUACAAUGAGCUGCGAUACCGCAAGGUGGAGCGAAUCUCAAAAAGCCGGUCUCAGUUCGGAUUGGGGUCUGCAACUCGACCCCAUGAAGUCGGAGUCGCUAGUAAUCGCAGAUCAGCAUUGCUGCGGUGAAUACGUUCCCGGGCCUUGUACACACCGCCCGUCACGUCACGAAAGUCGGUAACACCCGAAGCCGGUGGCCCAACCCCUUGUGGGAGGGAGCUGUCGAAGGUGGGACUGGCGAUUGGGACGAAGUCG
rnacentral:rRNA from 1 species